ACUCCUACGGGAGGCAGCAGUGGGGAAUCUUAGACAAUGGGGGCAACCCUGAUCUAGCCAUGCCGCGUGAGUGAUGAAGGCCUUAGGGUCGUAAAGCUCUUUCGCCAGGGAUGAUAAUGACAGUACCUGGUAAAGAAACCCCGCUAACAUCCGUGCCAGCAGCCGCGGUAAUACGGAGGGGUUAGCGUUGUUCGGAAUUACUGGGCGUAAAGCGCGCGUA
rnacentral:rRNA from 1 species